GACGAACGCUGGCGGCGUGCUUAACACAUGCCAGUCGAACGGAAAGGCCCUGCUUGCAGGGUGCUCGAGUGGCGAACAGGUGAGUAACACGUGUGUGAUCUGCCCUGCACUUCGGGGUAAGCCUGGGAAACUGGGUCUAAUACCGGGUAGGAGCCCUCCUUCUUGUGGUGGUUGGAAAGUUUUUUCGGUGUAGGAUGAGUUCGCGGCCUAUCAGGUUGUUGGUGGGGUAAUGGGCUACCAAGGCGGCGUCGGGUAGCCGGCCUGGGAGGGUGGACGGCCACAUUUGGACUGGGAUACGGCCCAGACUCCUACGGGGGGCAGCAGUGGGGAAUAUUGCACAAUGGGGGGGAGCCUGAUGCAGCGACGCCGCGUGGGGGAUGACGGCCUUCGGGUUGGAAACUCCCUUCGCUAGGGACGAAGCUUUGUGUGACGGUAACGAGAUAAGAAGCACCGGCUAACUACGUG
rnacentral:rRNA from 1 species